rnacentral:rRNA from 1 species
UACGUAGGGGGCAAGCGUUGUCCGGAUUUAUUGGGCGUAAAGAGCGUGUAGGCGGCCAUGCAGGUCCGUUGUGAAAACUCGAGCUCAACCUCGAGACGCCGAUGGAAACCGCAUGGCUAGAGUCCGGAAGAGGAGGAGUGGAAUUCCUGGAUGUAGCGGUGAAUGACGCAGAUAUCAGGAAGAACACCCGUGGCUAAGGCGGCUCUCUAGUACGGUACUGACGCUGAGACGCGAAAGCGUGGGGAGCGAACAGG